AUGCUAAACCCAUUUGUCCACCCUCUGGGAGACAUUGUCCAUGGUCCAGGUGAGUGCUUGGUGGCAGCAGGGAACCCUGGCACACUCCCUUACACCCUGCUGCCCUGUGCUGCUGCGGAGGUCUGUAACACACGGCAAAGCCAACAUUACCUGUUCCUGACAUUUUGGAGACAAGGAGCCCAAGGCCAAGGAAGCACUGGGGUUUGCACUGAGGUCACUGGGAGACCCAGUCCCCACAGCAGCGAUGCAAGCCGUGCUGGAGGUUGCAGCACGCAACAGUCUUGCAAUCCUAUGGCAAGGCAGAGGCAGGAGGUGAAGAGGCUGGUCAGACAUUUGUGUCUGAGCUCAACCCUGCAGUGUGGCCUAGUCCCACCAGAGCUGGAGUCUGCAGGCUCUCCAUGGAUCCUGGGCUGCCCCUGUCUCUCUCUCUCUCACACACACACACACACACACACACACAAAACCAGGCAAACCAAACCACGGUACAGGCUCUCUGCAUCAUGCUGGGGGUGUCUCCCCAAAGGGAUUCGGGCUCAUCCAGAACAGCUUGCUGCCAUCGGGAAGAGGAGCGAUCACGAGGCUGGAGGCUCCCGGCUGUCACGCAGCCCCAGGAGGGUGGUUUAUUACAUGUGGGCGCCCUGGCGAGUUUGGCUGGUCAGAUGGUGUGUGGAAAGGACAAGCAGGACAGCCCUGACAUCAGGAGCAUGGCACAGUGCUGUGGCAACUGCUGGAGCAGGACUGGGGCCUGGUCCUGGCAGCCUCCAACCUAUGGGACGUGGGCACGGUUCGGGGUGGGGGAUGCCCUCCCCGGUCUGGCCAGUGCCUGGUGAGAGCAGGUCUGCCCUCCUGGGCAGAUGCCUGGGACCAGGGAGGUGUGCAUCUCUCCUCCUCCUCCUUCCAGUGGUGGGAGCAUCCAGCCCGCAGCAUGACCAUGGACAUCCUCCUGCCUCCAGUGUUGGUUUGUCCUUCUCCCUUGCUCUGGUGCUCCUCGUUGUCCUACAUAGCUGUGAGUCAUAG
rnacentral:lncRNA from 1 species